GUUAUGUGAACUUUAAAGGGACACUAAUCACCACAACAACUACAGCUUAUUGAAUUUGUUCUGGUGAGUAGAAACAUUACCUUCAGGCUUUUUGCUGUAAACACUGUCUUUUCAGAGAAAAUGCAGUGUUUACAUUACAGCCUAGUGAUAACUUCACUGGCCACCCCUCAGAUGUCUAUUAGAGAUCCUUCCUGGGUCAUGGCUGCCUAAAAUGCAUCCAAACAUUCAGUAUCUCCUCCCUCUGUAUGCAGACACUGAACUUUCCUCGUAGAGAUUCAUUGAUUCAGUUCAUCUCUAUGAGGAGAUGCUGAUUGGCAAGGGCUGUGUUUGAAUUGUGCUGGCUCUGCCCCUGAUCUGCCUCCUUGUCAGUCUCAGCCAAUCCUAUGGGGAAGCAUUGUGAUUGGCUCAGAAUAACACUUCUGAUGAUGUCAGCAGGCCGUGGGCAGGUCUACAGGAAAUAGGGACAAAGCCUGCAGCUCCAGACUUGAAUACAACUAAGAUUUUACUAUAUUAGGGGGAGGCAAGAGGGGCCAUGGG